rnacentral:rRNA from 1 species
AGAUUAAGCCAUGCAUGUGUCAGUACAAACUAAAUGAGAGUGAAACCGCGAAUGGCUCAUUAAAUCAGCUAUGAUUCAUUGGAUCUGUACACCCAGUUUUCCUUGGAUAACUGUGGUAAUUCUAGAGCUAAUACAUGCACAUAUAGUCCCUGCCCUCCUCUCUUGUCUGACGAUGAGAGAGAGAGGGAAGGGCGCUUUUAUUAGUAUCAAAACCGGUCGGGCUUCGGUCUGUUAACCUAUUUGAUGACUCUGGAUAACUUUUAGCUGAGCGCACGGUCUUUUGCACCGGCGCCGCUUCUUUCAAGUGUCUGCCUUAUCAGCUUUCGAUUGUAUGUUAUGUGCCUACAAUGGCUAUAACGGGUAACGGGGAAUCAGGGUUCGAUUCCGGAGAGGGAGCCUGAGAAACGGCUACCACAUCUAAGGAAGGCAGCAGGCACGCAAAUUACCCACUCCCGGCACGGGGAGGUAGUGACGAAAAAUAACGAUGCGAGACUCAUCCGAGGCUUCGCAAUCGGAAUGAGUACACUUUAAAUCCUUUAACGAGGAUCAAUUGGAGGGCAAGUCUGGUGCCAGCAGCCGCGGUAAUUCCAGCUCCAAUGGCGUAUAUUAAAGUUGUUGCGGUUAAAAAGCUCGUAGUUGGAUUUCAGUAUUGGACUGAUGAGUUUUUUCACCUUCGGGUGAUUAAACGGAAUCAAGCUUCAAAACCUGCUACCACAAUAAUUACAUUGUGUGUUGCUCAACUAGCUCACACGGGGUGCUCUUAACCGAGUGUCCCGAGUGGCUGGUAUGUUUACUUUGAAAAAAUUAGAGUGCUCAGAGCAGGCUACAAAUGGCCUGAAUGUCUAUGCAUGGAAUAAUAUAAGAGGACCUCGGUUUUAUGUUUUACCGCGUUUCUUUUGGAAACCCGAGGUAAUGAUUAAUAGGACCAAGUGAGGGCAUUAGUACUGCGACGCUAGAGGUGAAAUCUGA